rnacentral:rRNA from 1 species
UACGUAGGGAGCAAGCGUUGUCCGGAAUUACUGGGUGUAAAGGGAGUGUAGGCGGGACGGCAAGUCAGAUGUGAAAUUUAUGGGCUCAACCCAUAACGUGCAUUUGAAACUGCUGUUCUUGAGUGAAGUAGAGGUUGGCGGAAUUCCUAGUGUAGCGGUGGAAUGCGUAGAUAUUAGGAGGAACAUCAGUGGCGAAGGCGGCCAACUGGGCUUUUACUGACGCUGAGGCUCGAAAGCGUGGGGAGCAAACAGG